AACCGGGUGCUUGCACCUGGGGAUUAGUGGCGAACGGGUGAGUAACACGUGAGUAACCUGCCCUGGACUCUGGGAUAACCCCGAGAAAUCGGAGCUAAUACCGGAUAUGACCGAUCCUCGCAUGGGGGUUGGUGGAAAGUUUUUCGGUCUGGGAUGGACUCGCGGCCUAUCAGCUUGUUGGUGAGGUAAUGGCUCACCAAGGCGUCGACGGGUAGCCGGCCUGAGAGGGUGACCGGCCACACUGGGACUGAGACACGGCCCAGACUCCUACGGGAGGCAGCAGUGGGGAAUAUUGCACAAUGGGCGCAAGCCUGAUGCAGCAACGCCGCGUGAGGGAUGACGGCCUUCGGGUUGUAAACCUCUUUUAGUAGGGAAGAAGCCUUUCGGGGUGACGGUACCUGCAGAAAAAGGACCGGCUAACUACGUGCCAGCAGCCGCGGUAAUACGUAGGGUCCGAGCGUUGUCCGGAAUUAUUGGGCGUAAAGAGCUCGUAGGCGGUUUGUCGCGUCUGCUGUGAAAUCUAGAGGCUCAACCUCUAGCCUGCAGUGGGUACGGGCAGACUUGAGUGCGGUAGGGGAGAAUGGAAUUCCUGGUGUAGCGGUGGAAUGCGCAGAUAUCAGGAGGAACACCGAUGGCGAAGGCAGUUCUCUGGGCCGUAACUGACGCUGAGGAGCGAAAGCGUGGGGAGCGAACAGGAUUAGAUACCCUGGUAGUCCACGCCGUAAACGUUGGGCGCUAGAUGUGGGGACCUUUCCACGGUUUCCGUGUCGUAGCUAACGCAUUAAGCGCCCCGCCUGGGGAGUACGGCCGC
rnacentral:rRNA from 1 species